rnacentral:rRNA from 1 species
GGAGGAWSCAAGCGUUGUCCGGAUUURGUGGGUWUAAAGGGUGSGUAGGCGGAUMWUUAAGUCAGUGGUGAAAKCSSGCAGCUCAACUGUAGAACUGCCAUUGAAACUGAWUAUCUUGAAUUAGGUURAAGUAGGCGGAAUGUAUCAUGUAGCGGUGAAAUGCUUAGAUAUGAUACAGAACACCGAUAGCGAAGGCAGCUUGCUGAACCUAUAUUGACGCUGAGGCACGAAAGCGUGGGGAGCRAACAGGAUUAGAUACCCUGGUAGUCCACGCCCUAAACGWUGAUUACUCGUUGUUGGCGAUAUACAGUCAGCGACCAAGCUAAAGCGUUAAGUAAUCCACCUGGGAAGUACGACCGCAAGGUUG